UGUUCGUCGGGCGGGUAUCCGUCCACGGACAGAUGUGGGAUAGACAGGAGCGUAUGACAGGCAUAACACAAUUACUAACUCAAUGCAAAAAUGGCACAAGUCGAAAGCCUUUCAGCGCAAGAGCGUCCUAAGUAAGAAAAUCAUUCACUGUCACACGUGACAUAAGCGUAGACGGGCUCACGUGGAAACAACAGAGAGCAGAUAGACUUGGACAGACACAGAAAGAUAUAGUCCAAAACAGGUUGCUAAGCGACCGCUGCUUCUGUCGCAUGUCUGUACAAGGAGUGUGCUUCAGACUUCUGCGUCAAUUCGUAACAUUUCCAGAUGUAAUCAGAAUCUUGGAACCCUAGCAAUGGACACUGUUCGCCAUGAAACGAGUUUCGUAUAACUGAUAACUUAUGCAUCUCGUGAAUUGCCAGGAGUUCGAGAGGAAGAGUCUCUGCCAUGUUUUCUGUAUCAGCCACAGCCAAAGAGGUCACGAAAUUCCGGGUGUGAUCG